UACGAAGGGGGCUAGCGUUGCUCGGAAUCACUGGGCGUAAAGCGCACGUAGGCGGGUUAUUAAGUCAGAGGUGAAAUCCUGGAGCUCAACUCCAGAACUGCCUUUGAUACUGAUAGUCUUGAGUAUGGGAGAGGUGAGUGGAACUGCGAGUGUAGAGGUGAAAUUCGUAGAUAUUCGCAAGAACACCAGUGGCGAAGGCGGCUCACUGGCCCAUUACUGACGCUGAGGCGCGAAAGCGUGGGGAGCAAACAGG
rnacentral:rRNA from 1 species